UACGUAGGGUGCGAGCGUUGUCCGGAAUUAUUGGGCGUAAAGAGCUCGUAGGCGGUGUGUCACGUCGGCCGUGAAAACCUGCAGCUUAACUGUGGGCGUGCGGUCGAUACGGGCAUCACUGGAGUUCGGCAGGGGAGACUGGAAUUCCUGGUGUAGCGGUGAAAUGCGUAGAUAUCAAGAGGAACACCUGAGGUGAAGACGGGUUGCUGGGCCGACACUGACGCUGACAGCGCGAAAGCCAGGGGAGCAAACGGG
rnacentral:rRNA from 1 species